rnacentral:lncRNA from 1 species
AUGUCUUACAAUCAUCCAUACCAAAACCCAGCUGAUGGUUACGGCGCAAGCAAUGACAAGUACAAAGACUCGCAACGAAUUUAUCACCGGGAGUCAACGGCUUACAGGUCGCAGAUACGGGGCGCGUCUCCAGAGCGGAUGUCUCCGUCCUCAUCAGAACCUGUCCUCUCGUCUGCCAAGGCUUUGUCUUUUCUGCAUAGCUGUGGACUGGAUGCUGAAGACCUCCAAACGCUGGCCGAGCUUCCCGAGCAUCUCAUCGCAGCCGAUACCCUUCCUGACCUUCUCGCGCAGAUCAAAAAGAAGAAAGCAUCCGGCACUUCUUCGUCUAGGUCCGGUGCGCUCCGAGACAGUUCGUCGUCUCGCUCCUGGGACGACACGAGCCACGCUCAGCUGGUUGAGUAUCCGUUGGAUUUGCCGGAACGUCAGUCAUACUCCAUUCCUCGAGAGCAGCUUCCAACCUGGGACGACCGCUGGGAAAACGUCCAACAGUCAAGCUCUCCAUCAUGCACGUACACCAGUUCGGAGUCGAACUACGUGGUUGAGUACAACCACCUGAAAGACAAAGAGUCUUAUUUUGAUAAAGCGUCUUAUGCCACGGAACCAUCGAGGCAGAAAACAUCCGUCGUCCCGCAGUCUUACUCCAGCUACAGCAGAGACGCUAUUCAAUCCUCACAUUUGUCCAGCAGAGACGGCAGUCAUUCCUCACGUCUGUCCAGUAGAGACGUUAGUCAAUCCUCACAUCUGUCCAGUAGAGAUGCAAGUCAGUCCUCACAUCUGUCCAGUAGAGACAUUGGACAAUCCUCACAUCUGUCCAGUAGAGACAUUGGACAAUCCUCACAUCUGUCCAGUAGAGACAUUGGUCAAUCCUCAUAUCUGUCCAGUAGAGACAUUGGACAAUCCUCACAUCUGUCCAGUAGAGACAUUGGCCAAUCCUCACAUCUGUCCAGUAGAGACAUUGGCCAAUCCUCACAUCUGUCCAGUAGAGACAUUCGGACAAUCCUCACAUCUGUCCAGUAG